rnacentral:lncRNA from 1 species
CUUUUGGAACUAUGAUGUUUUGAAGAGAGAGUUGAGCUAGCGUAGAUAUUCUUUUGUAUAGCUCCUCUGUAGUUGGAAAACUCUAAAUGUACCUUGAAUCAAUGUUUCCUUUUGAAUUGUAAAUGUACCGACAUGUGUAUAUAUAAAAAUGUUUAGUCAUGUCUAUGUGUUAUAUUUGAUUUGAGAAUGUUCAUUCUCUAGGAUGGUAUGAAGUUACUUGUACUUGAUUGGGUUUCGGACGAGUGUAGAAUUUGAAUAAGGAAAGAAAAAAUUUUGGCGGGAAACUGUACAGCAGAAUCCGGCCGUAUAUCCAGCCAGUUCUUGGCUGGAUACAUGGCCGGAUUGACAGGGGAUUUUGAAAAAAAUUUCGAGUUUCUCUCUGCCUCAAAUCCGGCCAAGUCUUGGCUGGAUUGUGACGUGGCAGUCAUUGUUCACUUCCAUUUUCAUUUUCGUUAUUUAUUAUUUGAUGUCGUUGAAUCGAGUGGUUGCUGUGAUAUCUUUUAGGAUGGUUUGGCAUUCGUGUGUGCGUCUUAGUAGUCCUGGCGAGAGUUGGGCAGGCAGUUCGCUAACCCUUAGGGUACGCCUUAGGGGAAGAUGGGGCUGUCACAGUUGGUAUCAGAGCCUAGGUUAGAAUUUUGUUUCUUAGGACCUGUGGGGAUUGUAUUAAGGCGUCGUUAAGUGUGAUUACCUUGUCUAAGAUGUAAACCUUUGUUAUCCUUAUAGAUUAUGGUUGGAGCUAGUAAAGGGGGCGGAGGUGAGUUGCCUCGGAGGCGCUUUCGUGUCAUUGAUUAUCAGGAGAGGCCUGGAGGACCAAUCCGCCGAUGGAGUGCCGCUAGUCGGACUCGCCGUUGUAGUCGUUGCCAGAAUUACUCAUAUUCGUGGCCGUCCUCGAUGAGCGGAGAAGGCUUAGGCGAGCCGCCGCUAGGGACCAAACCGAGAUGGUGAGGCUGAGGGGUGUCAUGCGAAUACAAGCUAACCAGAUUCGCGAGCUUCAAGGGAAUGUAGCUAUGGAGCAAGAGAGAAUCGAUGCUCUUAGAGAGCAGUUGCACGCAGCUACCAACUGCCUUACUAGGGUGGUUCGGGAAGUUAGAAACCGGUCGAGAGGUAUUAUUAACGAGUGUGAGGCGCUAAUCCAAAGAGUGAUUGGCGCCAAUGUACCAGUGGAGGCUCGAGGCGACGGAACACCGGGAGAGGGGAGCACACCUAGUUCUAGCCAAGCGAAAGAGUCUGUGGGCUCAGUUGGGAACUAGGAUAAAGCUCCUUUGAGCUAAGUUUUGAUUCCAUGGGAGGUGUAGUUUAGGGGGUAAACUCUUAGCUAGCUGCUUUUGUAUUUUUGGUCUAGCUUUGUAAAUAGUACUUUUGAUGACUCCGUUAUCUCAUAGAAUUUUCUUUGUUUGUAUCUGACUGAUUGGUAUUGUGUGACUUGUUUGAUACGGUUGUGUUAUAUGUAUAUAUGUUUUGGAUUUGUGAGUAUCUUUUGUUCCCUGUUCAUGCAUAUAAUCAUUUUGAUGUUAUAUUUAUGCCUUAACCCUAGAUUGAUUAAAUUCAAUGGAGGGUACUCGUAGUGGACGAGGCCGUGUGUGAGAACCCAGAAAAAAAAAAUUUUAUUAUUUAUUUAUUAUUUUAUUCCUGUGCACCCGUUUUCUUUUAUUUUCUUUAUUCUAUUACUUUUCUCAACAUUUUAACAGUAAAUAUAGCUUUUAAAUCCAUUUUCUAGUAUAAGGUAGUUCGUGAGAAAUUUGGAACGUCUUUUGGUCGUGGGACCCGCUAGUGCAUUAAGUGAGAGAAAUUUGACCAAUUAGGUUAAAUUUUGCGUAAAGGGUUUUUGCUACUAGGUAUUAGUGUAGACACCAAAUUUUGAAUAAUUUGUAUGUGGCAUCUACUUCAUGAUUUUUAUUUUAGAUCGCUUGCAUUUAGUUCAUUGUUGUGUGUUUUGCAUUUUUAGUUGUUAUUUUAUUUUAGUUUUAUUCAUUUUGCCCUUUUAGUUUGUCUAUUCAUUUUUAUUUUGUCAUUUCAGGUUUUAAUCACUUUUAAGUUUUAGAUUUUAGUUUUUAGUUUUUUUUAGUUUUCUAAGUUUAUAGAGUUUUAGAAAGAAAAGGAAAACAUCAAAAAUAUGUUUUAGUCAUUUUUGUUUUUAUUCAAUGCUUUCUUAAAAGAAAAAUAGAAAAAUGGAAAAAAAGAAAAAAAAAGGGGAAAAUUUGUUCACAAAAAUAUGUUUAUUCAAUCUUUGGGGCACAUUAGUUAUUUUUAAGUUAUUUUGAGGAAAAGAAAAUGAUGAAAAUUGAGAAUUUGGAAAUUUUAAAAAUGGCCAUUUUUGUUUAGUUUCUUUUGUUUAAAAUUAUUUUUUGUUUUGUUAUUAUUAUUAUUACCUGGUUUGUGUAAUUUUGUUAUUAUUAUUAUUAUUAUUAUUAGUUAUAUUUUAUCAUUUCUGUAUUUAUUAAAUUAUUUAAAAAAAAAAAAAAAAAAAAGAGGUUUUACGUGCAAGCUGCGGAAACGCAGCUUGCAAAGGACAGUCACGGAUUACCAAUCGAAGGGCUAAGGGGAGAAGGCUUAAGUGAAGAUAAUCUACAGCCAUUGAAUGAAGGGUUAAGGUUGGCUAGCCGUAUAUAAAAGGGGAAGAAACGGAGAGCCGAAAGGGGGAAAAAAAAGAUUGAAGGGUUUCAGGGAAAAACAAAACAGAAAGAGUUGACGGGCAAGGGGAGGAUUCUGGGGGGAGUGAACGGAGGAAGGGAAACCAAAGCAAAAGGGCAGCUACGGGAUAGAGUGCUGGGGGGUUGGACAACUAAGGAUAGAACAGAGGGAAGGAAGAGAGAUUUCUGGGGGUUGACGUCUGAACAGAUAGAGAGGAACUAGAAAAGCGACGGUAAGACGGAGGGCUUCGAGCAAAGGCUGAGAAAAGAGGACGGCUGGAAGUAGAAGGAAAAAACAGCAAACAGAGAAGGGAGGGGCGGUUGCUGGAAAAGAAAAACAAGGGCAAAAGUUAGAACAACAGAGAGCAAAAAGGCUGAGGAAGUGACGGUGAGGUUUUAGAGAGAGUGGAGAGCCGAGAGGGUAGCAAGGCUGCAACUAACGGGAAUCAGCAAUCAUCAUCGCCACCAAUCUUCACCUACAGAGCUUUGUAAGCUAUGUUCUUCCCUCAAGAUUUCAUUUUUCUUUAAGCAUGGACGCUUGUAGUUUUCUGUUGUAUUUUUAUCUCAAUUUUUCUGGGGGUCUGCCUACGUUUUUCCUGAAAGAUUGCUGUUUUAUUUGUUGCUUAGUUUGAAGUUUCUAGUUCUUCCUGACAAAUUUUGAGGACUUGCCGUGUUUGAUGGACUGCCCGCUAAGAACUUUAAUUGAAUGAUGACUUUGUUGCUUUUUGUGUGUGUGAAAAAUGACACGGUCGGCAAGCUCCAUUUUUGUCAAAAUAGUCGAUUUUCAUGGAAGAGAGUAGAGUUUUGAAAGGUUCGGACGGGUUUGUUUUGCAUCCUUCCUGCCUCUUUUCUUCUUACUUUUCCUUGUGUACGAACCUGAAUUAUUUUGGAGAUUGAUGCAAGUAGUGGCGGCUGGAUUUACUUGAUUUUUGCAUAACACUGUCCGAGUGAGUACGAGCAGCAACUUUGGCAACGGAAUAGAAAGUUUUUGCAUUCCCUUUGCUGUUUUCUUACAUGCAAUUGCUCAUCAAAGUUUUGGCUAUCCAGUUUGCUAGUCGACUUCUAUUUUGGUAAAAGGAAGCAGAUAAUGGGUGUUGGGUUUGAAUUUUGGGGGCUGAAAUGGAAAAUGGCCGAAAGAAUGCUAGCUGGAAGUGAAUAGAACAGGAUUGCCGCAUCAUGUUGCAUAAAAUUUCCCAGCAUUUACGUGAUCCCCUUUCUAUGUUUUGUUUUGUUUGAUGCUGAAGUCGUGUGUUGUUUGUUGAAAUCAAAGUUAUACAUUGGUUCGAGAGAGUGUGGUUGAGGAUAGCAUUGGGUUUUCUGAAAUCUGUGAACAAAAUGCAGCAAGGGGAAGCUGCUGCAUUUUUUUUUUCCCUUUCUUUCCUUUGCCGCGUUUCCUGUCCCUUGACUACUGGUUGAGUUUUUGCACUUCAGUGUCAUGUUUGAGGGAAGCAAGGGAAGGUUGAAUGCUGAGUUUGCAUGUUGAAAUGUUUGGAGCAUGUUCGAGCACUAGGUUUUCUUUUGCUGCAUUCUGUUUCGGUUGUAUCCCAUUGCUGCAUUUCGUUUUUUACUUCGGGCAGCUAUCAUUCCAGUUUCUCUGUUUUGAUCUUUGCAAGAGAGGUGGAAUGGCCGGGUUGAUUCACAAUUGGAAAGUUUGUGUCUUGUGAUUGAUUUUCAUUGGUAAUGUUAAAGAUGGCAUUGGAACACAAUACGUUGCAACAAAGGUAUUAGCUGGAAUUUUGCAGAAGCCUUUGUAUCUACGUAAAUUGCAUGAAAAUUGCAUGAAAUAGUUUUCAAAAAUUAUACUUUGGUCCCCCAAGUCUCCCCUUAAGCCACUAAGGCCCAAAAACUUUGGAAAUUUAAUCAAUUGGAUCCUUUGUAUUUUGCAGCAACGCAUGAUGGCCCAGUUACAUUUCAUGUUCUUGCAAUUAGGUUCUAAGGUGUUUGCAUUUGAAUCAUUAAUUGAUCUUUAUUACUUUGGGGACCUUUGAAACUCUUUGAUGAUUCAUUUUUGACGUUGAUUGUGAUUGAUUAGGGAUCAUUAUUGGGUCCUAGAAAUGCAAGUUUAAACCAUUCAUGGACCUUCAUUCAUUCUUGGAUUUUUGAGAUAUGAUGUUUGCUUGGACUUUAUUAUUUAUUUGGGGACCCUUGAGUUCUUAAAUGCCUCAAUUAAGUUCUAAUUUUUUGCAAAUAGAUCUUAGAAUAGUUGAAUUUCGAGCCAUUACUUGACUUUUUCUCUUUGCCAUUGGACCUUUGAAGUUCCUAAAAGUAUUUGAUUGAGCUUGAAUGCUUGGUUAGCGUUCACCAUUGAGUCUUUGGUAGCAUCAAUGUUUCAAUUCAAUUGCUUGUUGGCCUUCAUUGGUUACCAUGUUUUGCUAAGGUGAUGCUUAAUGCAUGGAUUUGUGAACCUUGCAACUAAAUGAACUUGUGGUGACCCAUGUUCUUUAAUUUCCCUAAAUAAGUUGAUUAAUUGACCUUUUCAUGCUCAUGGACCUUUUGAGUUCUAAAAUGUUUCAUUUAGCUUUGAAUGGUUGAUUAAUGCUUGCAUUUGGGUCCUUGGUGGAUUCCUUUAUUGGAAAUUAUGCAUAGUUUGAUUUCACUUAAAGUGCAAUUAGGAGAGUUUUUGGUGACUUUGUUAUACUUUACUAUUUGAGGUACCGUGACCUUUUUAUUGUUUUGAAGCCAUUUUUCUUUCAUUUGGACUCCAUUCCAAGGGAGGUACACUCUCUCCCUCAUUUUGCACUUCAUUUGACUCUACGUGCUCCUACGUGUUAUGUGAAUAUGCAUGCCUACUCCGCUUUCCUUACCUCCUUGCAUGCAUUUACUUGUUUUUACUUCUAUUUAAGUUUUAUGGGGUAUGUGUACACCUCUUGGCUUGUAAUAGAUAGUGCUCGGAGAGCAUCUGGUCCAUUUCCCUUUCCCCUUUAUGCUUUCAUGGGGUAUGUGUACACCUCUUGGCUUGUAAUAGAUAGUGCUCGUAGAGCAUCUGGUCCAUUUCCCUUUCCCCUUUAUGCUUUCAUGGGGUAUGUGUACACCUCUUGGCUUGUAAUAGAUAGUGCUCGUAGAGCAUCUGGUCCAUUUCCCCUUCCCCUUGGUUGCUUGCUUUUGUUGUUACAUGUUAAAUUGCUUUAGUAGGCUCUUGCAUCUAGUCGAGCAUGCUAAGUGCUACGUGCUAUGUGUUUACGAGUAUUUUGGCAUGUCUACUUGCUUUCAUAGCCAUGAAUGAAUGGAAUGGAUGAAUGUACGCUUCCGCUAGUCCAACGCUAGUCGGAAUUCAUAGAAUGGGCUAGUCCAACGCUAGACCCUUAGGGAUUUCCCCUCAUUAGCAUAUCUUUUGCUUGUUCACCACAUAUCAUGCAUUUUUCUUAGUUUUAUCACUUGGCAUGCUCCUCUAGUCCCUUCCCUCUCACCUUAGAUUUUUGCAUCUCAUACUAGCUAUAGGGUUCAUUUUGCUUGAGUGUCCCCUUCUGAUAAGGGAAAUGAGCGAGUGUGGCUACUCGAUAGCCUUAGCACGCUAGUUUCGCCUUCUAAUCAAAGGGAAAAUCAAGUCACGAUUUAGGUCUCCCCGUGCCCAAUAUGCAUGAAUUCCCUAGGCUCAUGCAUUUUCAAUCCACUCUAUCAUUACACUUUCACUUUUGUCUCAUUAGCACACAUGCACCUUUUUAUCACCUUCACUUGCACACGAACACUUUUUUGUCUCCACUUGCACACGAACCCUUUUAUCUUCACUUGCACACGAGCAUUUUAUCUUCACUCACACACGAGUACUUUCAUCUACAUUUGCACACCUUCACUCUUAUCUUAUUACUUUUAUCAUUUUUCUCACUUCACACAAACUCACACUUUCACAUGGCAUGCAUUCCACUCAUUUUUCACGUCAUUUAGGUUUAGGUGUGACCUCUUCAAAAGGGUCAUUAUUGGGCUUCACAAUUAAUGUGAUUGGCACCACUCAACCUUUGAAGAGAAAUUUCCCCCAAUCCCCCUAGGUCUAGGUUUUUGCACUCAUAUAGAUAUAUCCAAUACGCGGUACAUACCUUGGGUAGAAAAAUUAGGAAAAAUUGGUUUGAAUCGCGCAACUAGCCUUGGCUAGGUCAAAGGGGUGCCUUGGAUUCUAUCCUUGCCUUCCCCUUUGUCAAACGUGACCCCCGAACCUUUUUUUUUGGCUUACGUGGACUAGGAGUCGUUUUAAAAAGGGUUUUACUACUUUGUCUUUAAAAAACACUUUUUGGGUGACUUGGUACACCCCAAAUCUAUACCAAGUGGCGACUCCGUUUUCAUAUUUAAAAAACCCUUUUUAAAAUUUCAUUUGGCCAAAUCGUCGCUUUCCAAAGUCCCAUGGCCUUUUUACUUUUCAUUUUGCACACGUUCACACCACACUUCACACACACAUCACAUUCAUACAUAUCGAUUCAAAAAGUGGGGCGCGACAGUUGGCGACUCCACUGGGGACUUCCUAAGUGGGUCCAAGCAUUUGACUUAGCCAUUCGUUUCCUUUUUCUACCCUUUUUAUGCAUUGCAUUUGGAUAUUAGGAUUGCAUUUUUUAUUUUUAGGACCUUUUGUCUUAUAUACGUAAUCAAACCAAUCCCUCGACUCACGAAUGUAUGUUUGAAUGAAUGUUUACUUGUUAUCUCGCGCUUGCAUUGCAUUUUGGGAGGUGUGGGUCACCCUAGAGCCUUGCGUUGGUUCUUGACCCUUCCCCUCCAAACGAGCACUAACAUACGAGCAUACGCUUUACUUCUUUUAUCCCUUUAUUUUUCUUUUAGUGGCUUGUCACGCCACUCUACCCUAUUAGGAUUAGGUGACUCACUUGGACAUGUGAUCACGACACGAUGUGUGUGUAGCAUGUUCCAAUGGGUCACUCAAUCUUCCACUUAAAGCUAUUGGUUGAUAGCCUUUAGCUUUUGGUCGAAGAUUGAGGUUUUGAUAGAUUCACUCAAACACGUAGCCGUGACACGAUGUGUGCGUAGCGGUGUUUGGGGAAUCGCUCGAGCCACCGACAAAGAAUCUUGGGAUUGAUGACCCUUGAUUUCUAAGUCUGAAGGCUCGGGGACCUGAGCUUAUCGAGUCUAGAUGCAUUAGCGAACCCCAACCUCAUGCAUCCAUAUUAGAAUUGCCUAGGGUAGAGUCUACCUUACCCUAUUAGGGACACGAUUCACGAGGGGAGGGGUCCAACCCCUUUCUCCUUUUUAUUGCUUUAUUUCUUUGUAUUUAUUUCGUUGCUACAAUGUGUUAUGUGCAUUUAUCUGGCUGAGCUAACUUUUCUUGGUUUUGUGUCCCCAUUGCAUUCACAAACUCUAGCAAAUAAAAGGUCUGGUACGACCUCCUUUUAGAACCUACCCUUAUAGAUAGGUUAUUGCACGUUUAAAUAUUUUGGUAUAUUGCAUUCAUAGAUUAAUAAUUGCAUAUCAUUCUAGGCCUACCUUGGCGUAUAAAAGGUCCUUUUAGAUCAUGAUUUCAUUUCAAAUUGCAUGUUUUACUGCUUUAAUAAACUGGCAUCAUGCAUAAACCCUAGAAAGGGAAUGCCAUUUAGGGGAUCCCGUGUUAGGAAUAAACCACCCCAUGUCUCGGAUAUAUAAUCCAAAUGAGACUUGCACGUUUACCUUUCUCGUACCGUCCGAAGGGGUAGUGCACAAGGUAAGGUAAAGAUCCGAUCAUUUUCAUGAAGCAAUUUUUUGGAAUAUGAACAUCUAAUAAUCACUUUUUGGCCAUUUUCUCAAAAUUGGUAAAAUUCCCUUGCGUAAAAGGACGUUAAUUCGAAGAAAUGAUUCCUCAUUGUUGAGACGAUAAAUAUAGAGGCCAAAUUUUGAUUUUAGAAGCUCAUAGACCAAGGCAUUGUAAUGAUUUCUUGAAACCACCCAGUGGGCGAAUAAUUCAAUCGAUUUUUGAACAAAUCAUUUUCCAAUUCAUUCAAUUUUAGUUCAAUCUAGUCAUUUUUGAGUAAAUUCAUUUCAUCUAAUCCAUUUGACCAAUGUACCCUUUUUAGGGUCAUCCGGUCGAUUCAUUCAAUAAAUCAUCAAUGCAUUUGACCAAUUUACCCUUUGAGGGUCACCUGGUCGGUUUUGAAUAAGUUGUCAAUUCAUUUGACCAAUUUACCCUUGUUAGGGUCUUUCGGCUGAUUUUUGAAUAUAUCCCUAAUUCAAUUUCAUUCAUUUGACCAAUUUACCCAUUUUUAGGGCAACCGAGCCGAUUUUGAAUAAAUCAAGUUUCGUUCAAUCUAUUUGGUCAAUUUACCCUUUUAGGGUGAUCUGAUUAAUUUGGAAUAAAUUAAAUUUUAUUCAAUUCAUUUGACAUGUUUCCCUUUUUAGGGUAAUCCGGUCGAUUUUUAAUAAAUUGUCAAUUUCAUUUGACCAAUUAGGAUUUCAUUGUCAAAUUCCAAAUUGGGAAAUCUAGUCAAUUUUGGAAAAAACCGUCCAUUGCAUCCAAUCACUUGGUCAAUUAGGGUUUUGACCCGUAAUUCACUGAGAAAUUUUAUCAACGAAUUCCAAUCUUUUUGAUAGGAAGUUCGUCAAGGUCAAACCCGUGCGUUUUUGCAAAAUCUUGUACCGAUCAAGAGUGAUCCAUCUAUUCGGACGUUGUCCUCAUUUUGACAAAUCUCUCGUCACUCCAAUGGCCAAAUUUUUCAAAUUAUUUUUCACUCAAUGAGUUGAUCAGAUCCGUCAGGUAUGGUAUAGUGCUUACCCUAGAAGAUCGCAUUUUCAUGCUAGGCUUACCCUUGGCAUAAAAAGGGCUCCCCAAUAGGACAUGCAUCCGAAUUUUUUGGAAAGUUACUAACUCUUGCCUUUUUCUUUUCCUUUUCUUUAUUUUCUUUUGAAUAAUUAAGCAAGGGUUGAAUCUAAAGGCAUUCCUUCAAAAAGUUUUCAGGUAGUAUUUAAACAUAGCUUCUCGUCGAAGCCCCAUCAUAACGCGAUCCCGUAGUCAAGCCCAGAGGAAUCGUGUAAACAUGAGUUCGCAACCGGAACUGUCGGAUAAGUCUGCUACUACAGCCCAACCUGAGACUGCAAGUUUGGGGGUCCAACUGACCGAGAUGCUUACGAAGUUUGGGGAAAUGGCGUCAGAAAUGGCCGCUCAAAAAAAAUUAAUCGAUGAGCUUAUCAGUAGCGGAGUUCAACCUGAGUCUGUGCUCAUCAGUCAAUCGGGGCCAGAGUCAUUGGUCAUGCCCACGAUCCAAACUACUUGUACUCCUCCCUUCAUCAUUCCACCUGAAGGAACUUUCAUCUAUCCUACCAUACAUUUGCCAUACACUUACCCUCCUAACCCUUCGUUCUUUCCUACUCACAUGCAAGGUCCCCAACCGCAAAUCACCUCAAACAUACCACCUGAGCCACAUACUCUUUAUCACACUGCUGCUGAGCCAUUCCUACCAGACCAUAUUGUUCAAACCAAGGCAGAAAUGGGGGAAUCUUCUGCUCCAAUUGAUAUGAAAUUGCUUAAGCGCCUGGACCGCUUUGAUGAGUUUAUGAGGAAAAGUCAGGGCUUAAACAAGCAAGGAGUGCUGGACUAUGACGAGCUUUGUCUUUUCCCAAAUGUGCAGUUACCUGAGGGGUUCAAAACUCCGAAGUUUAAUAAAUACGAUGGCACGGGAAAUCCCAAGACACACCUCCGAUUGUUUGCCAACAAGUUGGGUAGGCCAACAGAUGAUGAAAAUCUGCCUUUGAGGCUAUUCCCAGAAAGUCUGGAGGGGGAUGCACUCGACUGGUAUUCCAAGCUGAAACCCGAAGAAGCAAAGACCUGGCUGGAUCUGUCCAAUGCAUUUGUAAGGCAAUACGAGUAUAAUUGCGAGUUGGCUCCGACACGAACCACACUAGAGGGGACAAAGAGGAAGCCAUCUGAAGAUCACAAAACCUAUGCUAAGAGAUGGAGGAAAAUAGCUGCAAAAGUCGAGCCACCAAUGACUGAAGAUGAAAUCAUUCGCACCUUCAUUAAAGCACAUGAUCCACCGUAUUUUGAGGAAAUCUUUCGCAUGACUGGAUGCUCAUUUGCUGCUAUUGUCAACAAACUUGAAGAAUAUGAUGAUUUUGUGAAGGCUGGAAAGAUCGUUAAUGUGUCGGCUCUGAAAUCACAAUUGGAAGCAAUGCAAAAUCAAGGCAGCAAUAACAAGAAAUUCCUGUUCAAAAAGAGGGAAGAGGAAGUUUCAUCUGUCUCGAAACAAGGAGUUUCUUUCCGGCCUAGAUCCCAACAAUAUCCCACCUACUCCCCCCAUUAUCCAUACCAACCACACCUUCAACCUGUGUACCAUACCACUAUUAACCACCCGCAACCUCGACCAAAUUACCUAAACACACCUACAACACCAUUCCAUAUUUCUCCACAUAACUUUCAAACUAGACCUCGCUCUCCUUAUCAUCCAAGACCCACCUUACCCGCCAACCAUAGUUACAACUAUCAACAAACCACUGGCAUCCGAGACCCGGCCCGAUAUAGAACUUUUACCAAUUUAGGUCGGCCCUUGGAUCAACUGUAUGAGCAGCUCAAGGCCGCGGGCAAAAUUGGUACAAUACCUCCUAAAGUCUAUACUAAAGGAGUUCCCCCUGGUUAUAAUCCUCAAUUUUUUUGUGCCUACCAUUCUGGAGCUCCUGGACAUUCUACUGUCAAUUGUUGGGUACUUAAACACAAAAUCCAAGACAUGAUUGAGGCCGGAGACAUAAUUUUGAAAGGAAGGGAAGAACAAGCACCAAAUAUAAGUACAAAUCCUUUUCCUGAACACAAGGACACCUUCGAGGCAUCCACCUCCAAUGAUGAAAUUUGAAGGUCUUGAAGAGCUCUUCACAAAUUGGAUGGCUGACUAUCUUCCCUCUCGAAGGGAAUUUUGAUAAAUCUAGGGGUUAUCAUUUGCUAAAAUUCAUGAAAACUUUUUCUUGCAUAUGUACAUAGCUUAAUGAAAGCAUCUUUUGCAAUUUGAUUAUUUGUUUAUUUGAUUAUUGUCUUGAUUUUUUGUUAAUUCUUUGAGAUGGCCAAAGGUAAAGUUAUUUGACUCUUUGAAUAUCACUGCUUUGGAAUUUGAUGAAACCCUUUAUUGAAAAUCCCUCCAUUGAGAAAGCCUUUAUUAAGAAAAUCCUUCAUUGAGAAAGUUUUCAUUGAGAAAACCAUUGAAAAUCCCUUCAUUAAAAAUCACUUUACUGGAAAAAUCCCUUCAUUAAGGAAUCCCUUCACUGGAAAAAUUCUUUCAUUUGAAAAUUCCUUCAUUGAUAAAUCCCUUCAUUCGAGAAAAUCUCUUUCCAGCCAGGUUGGAAGUUGAUUGGUUAAAGCAGUAUCAUUAACGAUUGAUUCUGAUUGAUGAAAAGAAGUUGAAUGCUCUAUGCUGUGACCAACGUUGUCAAAACGCAUGGCCUAUGUUCAUAACAAAAGGAUCCGCCACCGAUCUUCUGAAGAAGGAAACAAAGUGCUAAAGCGAUGAAAGACGAAGUCGAAGGCAAAUUUGCUUCAAAUUGACAAAGCAUAUUGGGUGUUCAAAGGAGAGAUGGAAGGACAGACAUUCCCUCAACCUAUCAACUCGGACAUGUGUAAGAUGCUCUUUAUUUGAUUAUGCAAAGUUUCUUUUAGGGAAUCAUGCAAGAGACGAGGCAAAAGUCAGGCCAUCUUCCUUUCCAAUCAAGACAUUUCAUCCCUAGUCAUCCCCUUUGAACUAUUAGAACAAUAAUUUUCGUUUGGCAACCCCUGAGAAUUGCAAACCCCACACUGGGGCAAAUUCAUUUUGAAAAGUGAUCAGAAAGAAAAGGAAAACCCUACACUGGGGCAAAUUUAUUUUUGAAAGAAAAAAUGAAAAGGAAGAAAGAACCCCACACUGGGGCAAAUUUAGUUUUUGAAGGAAAAUGCAAAAAGUGAGAAAAAUGCAAUGAAGAAAAUGCAAAAAAAAAAAGAAAAUCCAAUCAAACUGGGGCAAAAUUUUCCUCAGUUUCGUUCAAAAUGGGAAAUAAUUUCAAAAUGAUGCAAUCUCAGGCUAUUUCACACCCCUCUCAUCAAAAUUUGCUUUCAAGCCUCAACUUUUCUUGAAAAACACCCCACCUGACUUCAUUUCAAAAGCCCAAAGUCCUGGCUUUCGUCAUUUGCCGUAUUUUCUAUUGGGAAAUUUGCUAAUCAACUGGCAAGUGAUGUCCAUAAUGCCUUCGCCGAAUCUUACAAGGGAAGCGCAUUUUACUGAUGUCAGCAAUCUUCAGUUCAUACUCCUGAGUCGAUUAUGGUUGAGUUUUUCCAUUGUUCCUUAGGUGAAAACCCGAAAGGCCACCUCAAAAGAAAAGGGGAAAAAGAAAAGAAAAACAGAAAAACAGGAAAAAAACAACAAAAACAAAACAAAAGAAAAGGAGUGGGGGCAAUCUUGGUGAAAACCCGAAAGGGCGCCAAGGUAGGAUUUCUGCAAUGAGCAAGCACAAGGAGGAGCAACUGGUGGUUUGGUCCAUUUGGAUUUCUCCUCAUUUUUGUCAUACCCCUGCCAAUAUUGAAUUCCAGAACAAGGAUAUUCAGAGAUUCGAAUACGCAUCCUUUGGCCAAAGAUGUGUCAUUUUGUAAAACAUUCUUUUGCGAAUACAUUCUUAGGAAACUCAUUUUUUUUUUUUCAAAUUACUCGCAUUCAUGGCAUUUUUUGUAGAAUUUAAGCACAAAUGGUUAAGUGUGCAUUCUUGUGCAUAAUUAUUUUUACAUGACAUAUGAAUUUUCUUGCAUACCUCAUUCUUUAUCAUUGAAUUGUGGUGAAUGACAACCCCCGUGGUUUGCUCGAAGCAUACUUGGGUUCAGUCAUCUCUUAAAAAGGGCUAAGGUGCAACCAAGCCAAUUACGAAGGCUUCGCAAUAUGGCAAAAAGCUUACCCGGUCAGUCUGGAAAAGCAGAGACAUUUUGAAUGAUAAAUCCAACCAAGUCAGAUGCCGCGACCAACUUCGACGAAGGCAUCAAAAGGCUUAUGUUUACACGAUUCUCAAAAGGCAAGCGGAUCAAAUGAUGGUGGCAAUUCUUUUAUUUUUUCUCUUUUGCAGGAAAAUUCCAUGCAUGGACGAAAACAAUCACACCUCGCACUGGAAUCGGUGUUGGAAGGAGUCCUCUGGUGAACAAAGGCAAAUCGAAAAUGUUGCAAGUAAAUUUGAUCAAAAGGUGCAACAGCAUGGCGAUACAGAAUCAACAACACACUCAAGUUGCAAAAAUCCAUCAUAAUAGGGCAAAUUAUCUUGUUGGAAAGAUUCUCAAAAGUCGAAAAAAAAAAAAGAAGCGAAAAGAAAAGAAAAAUCACCAAACAAAAAUCAAAAAUCAAAUCAAGUUCAUCUCGGCAGGACCGGGUAUAAUCCCGCUGACCGCUUUUUAUCAAAUUGGGACCGGGUUUCAUCCCGCCAAUCUCGGCAGGACCGGGUAUAAUCCCGCUGACCGCUUUUUAUCAAAUUGGGACCGGGUUUCAUCCCGCCAAUCUCGGCAGGACCGGGUAUAAUCCCGCUGACCGCCUUUUUAUCAAAUUGGGACCGGGUUUCAUCCCGCCAAUCUCGGCAGGACCGGGUAUAAUCCCGCUGACCGCUCUUUUCGUUGGGACCGGGUUUCAUCCCGCCAACCUUGGCAGGAUCGGGUAUAAUCCCACUGGUCGAUCAUCUCGGCAGGACCGGGUAUAAUCCCGCUGGCCGCUUUUUAUCAAAUUGGGACCGGGUUUCAUCCCGCCAAUCUCGGCAGGACCGGGUAUAAUCCCGCUGACCGCUCUUUUCGUUGGGACCGGGUUUCAUCCCGCCAACCUUGGCAGGAUCGGGUAUAAUCCCACUGGUCGAUCAUCAUGGCAGGUUCGGGUUUAAUCCCACUGACCAAUUCAUUACUGGGGCAAAUCUGUGGAUACAUUUUCAAAUAAAGUCUUAUAUAGUCUUCUUCAUACAAUCCCAUUUAAAUUACUGUUCGGGUCUACCCCGUUUUAAAUUUCUGUUCGGGUCAGUCCCGCGAUUAAAAUCUUAUUCGGGUCAGUCCCACGAUCAAAAGCAUUUUCGGGUCAGUCCCAUGAUCAAAAGCAUUUUCGGGUCAGUCCCACUAACGUGCAUUUCAUAUUCCGUUGCCAAUAAACAUGGGUCAACCCCACCAAUACUCCAUCUCACUUCAAUUCGUCCCAUUUACAUUUCUGUGUGGGUCUAUCCCAAUUUUAAAUUUCUGUCCGGGUCUAUCCCGUGGGUCUAUCCCAAUUUUAAAUUCCUGCUCGGGUCAGUCCCGUUUUAAAUUUCUGUUCGGGUCAGUCCCGUUUUCAAUUCUGGUUCAGUCCCGUUUUAUUUUUCAUGUUCGGGUCAGUCCCGUAUUCAAAUUCUUGUUCAUUGGGAUCCUUUUGCAGCCAAAUAACACAGGUAAGUAUUUGGUGUCUACUUCUUUGUCUCAAGUUUUUUCAAAACUCAGACAAAGAGGGGCAAACUGUAGACACCAAAUUUUGAAUAAUUUGUAUGUGGCAUCUACUUCAUGAUUUUUAUUUUAGAUCGCUUGCAUUUAGUUCAUUGUUGUGUGUUUUGCAUUUUUAGUUGUUAUUUUAUUUUAGUUUUAUUCAUUUUGCCCUUUUAGUUUGUCUAUUCAUUUUUAUUUUGUCAUUUCAGGUUUUAAUCACUUUUAAGUUUUAGAUUUUAGUUUUUAGUUUUUUUUUAGUUUUUUAAGUUUAUAGAGUUUUAGAAAGAAAAGGAAAACAUCAAAAAUAUGUUUUAGUCAUUUUUGUUUUUAUUCAAUGCUUUCUUAAAAGAAAAAUGAAAAGUGAAAAAAAGAGAAAAAAGAAAAAAAGAAAAAUUUGUUCACAAAAAUAUGUUUAUUUCUUUAAAUUCAAUUUUUGGGCACAUUAGUUAUUUUUAUUAAGUUAUUUUUGAGAAAAAGAAAAUGAUGAAAAAUGAGAAAUUGGAAAAUUUAAAAAUGGCCAUUUUUGUUUAGUUUUUUUGUUUAAAAUUAUUUUUUGUUUUGUUAUUAUUAUUAUUACGGUUUGUGUAAUUUUGUUAUUAUUAUUAUUAUUAUAUUAGUUAUAUUUUAUCAUUUCUGUAUUUAUUAAAUUAUUUAAAAAAAAAAAAAAAAAAAAGAGGUUUUACGUGCAAGCUGCGGAAACGCAGCUUGCAAAGGACAGUCACGGAUUACCAAUCGAAGGGCUAAGGGGAGAAGGCUUAAGUGAAGAUAAUCUACAGCCAUUGAAUGAAGGGUUAAGGUUGGCUAGCCGUAUAUAAAAGGGGAAGAAACGGAGAGCCGAAAGGGGGAAAAAAAAAGAUUGAAGGGUUUCAGGGAAAAACAAAACAGAAAGAGUUGACGGGCAAGGGGAGGAUUCUGGGGGGAGUGAACGGAGGAAGGGAAACCAAAGCAAAAGGGCAGCUACGGGAUAGAGUGCUGGGGGGUUGGACAACUAAGGAUAGAACAGAGGGAAGGAAGAGAGAUUUCUGGGGGUUGACGUCUGAACAGAUAGAGAGGAACUAGAAAAGCGGCGGUAAGACGGAGGGCUUCGAGCAAAGGCUGAGAAAAGAGGACGGCUGGAAGUAGAAGGAAAAAACAGCAAAUAGAGAAGGGAGGGGCGGUUGCUGGAAAAGAAAAACAAGGGCAAAAGUUAGAACAACAGAGAGCAAAAAGGCUGAGGAAGUGACGGUGAGGUUUUAGAGAGAGUGGAGAGCCGAGAGGGUAGCAAGGCUGCAACUAACGGGAAUCAGCAAUCAUCAUCGCCACCAAUCUUCACCUACAGAGCUUUGUAAGCUAUGUUCUUCCCUCAAGAUUUCAUUUUUCUUUAAGCAUGGACGCUUGUAGUUUUCUGUUGUAUUUUUAUCUCAAUUUUUCUGGGGGUCUGCCUACGUUUUUCCUGAAAGAUUGCUGUUUUAUUUGUUGCUUAGUUUGAAGUUUCUAGUUCUUCCUGACAAAUUUUGAGGACUUGCCGUGUUUGAUGGACUGCCCGCUAAGAACUUUAAUUGAAUGAUGACUUUGUUGCCUUUUGUGUGUGUGAAAAAUGACACGGUCGGCAAGCUCCAUUUUUGUCAAAAUAGUCGAUUUUCAUGGAAGAGAGUAGAGUUUUGAAAGGUUCGGACGGGUUUGUUUUGCAUCCUUCCUGCCUCUUUUCUUCUUACUUUUCCUUGUGUACGAACCUGAAUUAUUUUGGAGAUUGAUGCAAGUAGUGGCGGCUGGAUUUACUUGAUUUUUGCAUAACACUGUCCGAGUGAGUACGAGCUGCAACUUUGGCAACGGAAUAGAAAGUUUUUGCAUUCCCUUUGCUGUUUUCUUACAUGCAAUUGCUCAUCAAAGUUUUGGCUAUCCAGUUUGCUAGUCGACUUCUAUUUUGGUAAAAGGAAGCAGAUAAUGGGUGUUGGGUUUGAAUUUUGGGGGCUGAAAUGGAAAAUGGCCGAAAGAAUGCUAGCUGGAAGUGAAUAGAACAGGAUUGCCGCAUCAUGUUGCAUAAAAUUUCCCAGCAUUUACGUGAUCCCCUUUCUAUGUUUUGUUUUGUUUGAUGCUGAAGUCGUGUGUUGUUUGUUGAAAUCAAAGUUAUACAUUGGUUCGAGAGAGUGUGGUUGAGGAUAGCAUUGGGUUUUCUGAAAUCUGUGAACAAAAUGCAGCAAGGGGAAGCUGCUGCAUUUUUUUUUUCCCUUUCUUUCCUUUGCCGCGUUUCCUGUCCCUUGACUACUGGUUGAGUUUUUGCACUUCAGUGUCAUGUUUGAGGGAAGCAAGGGAAGGUUGAAUGCUGAGUUUGCAUGUUGAAAUGUUUGGAGCAUGUUCGAGCACUAGGUUUUCUUUUGCUGCAUUCUGUUUCGGUUGUAUCCCAUUGCUGCAUUUCGUUUUUUACUUCGGGCAGCUAUCAUUCCAGUUUCUCUGUUUUGAUCUUUGCAAGAGAGGUGGAAUGGCCGGGUUGAUUCACAAUUGGAAAGUUUGUGUCUUGUGAUUGAUUUUCAUUGGUAAUGUUAAAGAUGGCAUUGGAACACAAUAGGUUGCAACAAAGGUAUUAGCUGGAAUUUUGCAGAAGCCUUUGUAUCUACGUAAAUUGCAUGAAAAUUGCAUGAAAUAGUUUUCAAAAAUUAUACUUUGGUCCCCCAAGUCUCCCCUUAAGCCACUAAGGCCCAAAAACUUUGGAAAUUUAAUCAAUUGGAUCCUUUGUAUUUUGCAGCAACGCAUGAUGGCCCAGUUACAUUUCAUGUUCUUGCAAUUAGGUUCUAAGGUGUUUGCAUUUGAAUCAUUAAUUGAUCUUUAUUACUUUGGGGACCUUUGAAACUCUUUGAUGAUUCAUUUUUGACGUUGAUUGUGAUUGAUUAGGGAUCAUUAUUGGGUCCUAGAAAUGCAAGUUUAAACCAUUCAUGGACCUUCAUUCAUUCUUGGAUUUUUGAGAUAUGAUGUUUGCUUGGACUUUAUUAUUUAUUUGGGGACCCUUGAGUUCUUAAAUGCCUCAAUUAAGUUCUAAUUUUUUGCAAAUAGAUCUUAGAAUAGUUGAAUUUCGAGCCAUUACUUGACUUUUUCUCUUUGCCUUUGGACCUUUGAAGUUCCUAAAAGUAUUUGAUUGAGCUUGAAUGCUUGGUUAGCGUUCACCAUUGAGUCUUUGGUAGCAUCAAUGUUUCAAUUCAAUUGCUUGUUGGCCUUCAUUGGUUACCAUGUUUUGCUAAGGUGAUGCUUAAUGCAUGGAUUUGUGAACCUUGCAACUAAAUGAACUUGUGGUGACCCAUGUUCUUUAAUUUCCCUAAAUAAGUUGAUUAAUUGACCUUUUCAUGCUCAUGGACCUUUUGAGUUCUAAAAUGUUUCAUUUAGCUUUGAAUGGUUGAUUAAUGCUUGCAUUUGGGUCCUUGGUGGAUUCCUUUAUUGGAAAUUAUGCAUAGUUUGAUUUCACUUAAAGUGCAAUUAGGAGAGUUUUUGGUGACUUUGUUAUACUUUACUAUUUGAGGUACCGUGACCUUUUUAUUGUUUUGAAGCCAUUUUUCUUUCAUUUGGACUCCAUUCCAAGGGAGGUACACUCUCUCCCUCAUUUUGCACUUCAUUUGACUCUACGUGCUCCUACGUGUUAUGUGAAUAUGCAUGCCUACUCCGCUUUCCUUACCUCCUUGCAUGCAUUUACUUGUUUUUACUUCUAUUUAAGUUUUAUGGGGUAUGUGUACACCUCUUGGCUUGUAAUAGAUAGUGCUCGGAGAGCAUCUGGUCCAUUUCCCUUUCCCCUUUAUGCUUUCAUGGGGUAUGUGUACACCUCUUGGCUUGUAAUAGAUAGUGCUCGUAGAGCAUCUGGUCCAUUUCCCUUUCCCCUUUAUGCUUUCAUGGGGUAUGUGUACACCUCUUGGCUUGUAAUAGAUAGUGCUCGUAGAGCAUCUGGUCCAUUUCCCCUUCCCCUUGGUUGCUUGCUUUUGUUGUUACAUGUUAAAUUGCUUUAGUAGGCUCUUGCAUCUAGUCGAGCAUGCUAAGUGCUACGUGCUAUGUGUUUACGAGUAUUUUGGCAUGUCUACUUGCUUUCAUAGCCAUGAAUGAAUGGAAUGGAUGAAUGUACGCUUCCGCUAGUCCAACGCUAGUCGGAAUUCAUAGAAUGGGCUAGUCCAACGCUAGACCCUUAGGGAUUUCCCCUCAUUAGCAUAUCUUUUGCUUGUUCACCACAUAUCAUGCAUUUUUCUUAGUUUUAUCACUUGGCAUGCUCCUCUAGUCCCUUCCCUCUCACCUUAGAUUUUUGCAUCUCAUACUAGCUAUAGGGUUCAUUUUGCUUGAGUGUCCCCUUCUGAUAAGGGAAAUGAGCGAGUGUGGCUACUCGAUAGCCUUAGCACGCUAGUUUCGCCUUCUAAUCAAAGGGAAAAUCAAGUCACGAUUUAGGUCUCCCCGUGCCCAAUAUGCAUGAAUUCCCUAGGCUCAUGCAUUUUCAAUCCACUCUAUCAUUACACUUUCACUUUUGUCUCAUUAGCACACAUGCACCUUUUUAUCACCUUCACUUGCACACGAACACUUUUUUGUCUCCACUUGCACACGAACCCUUUUAUCUUCACUUGCACACGAGCAUUUUAUCUUCACUCACACACGAGUACUUUCAUCUACAUUUGCACACCUUCACUCUUAUCUUAUUACUUUUAUCAUUUUUCUCACUUCACACAAACUCACACUUUCACAUGGCAUGCAUUCCACUCAUUUUUCACGUCAUUUAGGUUUAGGUGUGACCUCUUCAAAAGGGUCAUUAUUGGGCUUCACAAUUAAUGUGAUUGGCACCACUCAACCUUUGAAGAGAAAUUUCCCCCAAUCCCCCUAGGUCUAGGUUUUUGCACUCAUAUAGAUAUAUCCAAUACGCGGUACAUACCUUGGGUAGAAAAAUUAGGAAAAAUUGGUUUGAAUCGCGCAACUAGCCUUGGCUAGGUCAAAGGGGUGCCUUGGAUUCUAUCCUUGCCUUCCCCUUUGUCAAACGUGACCCCCGAACCUUUUUUUUUGGCUUACGUGGACUAGGAGUCGUUUUAAAAAGGGUUUUACUACUUUGUCUUUAAAAAACACUUUUUGGGUGACUUGGUACACCCCAAAUCUAUACCAAGUGGCGACUCCGUUUUCAUAUUUAAAAAACCCUUUUUAAAAUUUCAUUUGGCCAAAUCGUCGCUUUCCAAAGUCCCAUGGCCUUUUUACUUUUCAUUUUGCAAUCGUUCACACCACACUUCACACACACAUCACAUUCAUACAUAUCGAUUCAAAAAGUGGGGCGCGACAAUUAGGAGAUAAUUGGAGGUUGCCUAGAUGGUUUAGCCAUGAGGGACAAGAAGAUAGCUCUAGCAAAAUAAUGCGCCAAGUGUCAAAUUGUUGUUGGACUAAACUUGCCUAACUUUCUUUAACUUUAAUAAAAGACCAAAAAUUGACUAAAUCAUCUUCAUUUCAGCCUUGUCUUGGCCGAACCUCUCUAGCAAGCAAAGGAAAAAAUUCUUCAACCUUCAACCUUCCAUCUUCUAAUCUUGCUCAAAUCUUGAAAACUAACCGUUUGUUUCUUGAAUUAGUCCAUAAAAACAUCUUGCUAAGGGUCUUUGAAGAGUUUGGUGGUGUUGUUUUGGAAGAAAACCUCACAAGCUACAACCUUUCUUGAAGAACUAUGGUAUCUUGCUUGGAACUCAUCUUUUGUUAUAAAUUUUGGCCAAUUGGUGCCUUAUAGUAGCUAUUUACGCGAUUUUACGGAAGAUUUGGUGGAUUGGAGUGAAGUUUCCUAAUUUUCUGAUUUUUCUGGAUUUUUUUCUGGAAUUUUCUGUUUUCCUAUGAUGGAUAUGAUUGAGCUUGAAUUGGUGGUUCUAAAUGGUAUUAAAUAGCUCUCUUGUGCGUUAAUUGUGGUUAAUUGCGGAAAAUUUCCGCUUGUGCAGAAAAUUUCAGAUUUAGGGUUUCAAAUUGGGGGUUUUCUAUUGUUGAUUGUUGAACUUCUAAUUGGCUAUAAUUGAAGGGUAUUGUGACCCUAAUGACGCAUAUGGAAUGGCUUAUAUAUUGUUUGGGUGCUUGUGGUUGUGUUGGAUGGCUUUUAUUGGUUGUCUUGUAGGUUGGAAAAGCUGAAAUUUUAGGAGAAAUGUUGUCCAAGUGUCUAGGGUAUUGGAUUCUUAUGUGUUGGGUUGAGAUUUGAUAGAAAUGAAUAAUCUUAGGGUUUAUUUCUACUUUUAACCCUAAAUGUUAUGUAUUUUUCAUUUCCAAGCUAUAUUUGGGUCUUGCCUUAAUAGUUCCUAGAAAAAGGUAUUCGACUUGUGUUUGCGUUUUCAUUGUACUUUCUUGAUUGUUAUAGGGCGUGCCGGUGAUCCGAGGCUCACGUCGGGCGAAAACUUGUGAAAUUUCUUUGUUGAACUUGGUGAGUGUACUACUCACAUAUUUGUUAUUCUGUGGCUUUCUUGUACUUGAAUUCUGUGAUUUGGGCUAGUUGUGAUGAUUGUUUGAGCUAGGUGAGGCGAGGGUGUACUUUACCACUCUCGUACUCUCUGGCCUCCUUGACUGGUUAUUAUACUAAGCUUACUUGACUGUUUAUGAUAUUACUUGAAUAUUCUUGACUAUACUGGAUUUGGUAUCGCUUGGAUACCAAUCUUUACUGUUCACUCUGAGCUCUACCUCAUUGGAAGUCAAUGGACUCGAGCCAGUAAGGACUUGGUCGGGGACAUUUGACAAGCCAUGGGGACUGUAUUUGGGAAUCUUUGGGUAUAAGACCCUUGAUUCCGGUAUACUCGAGUAAUACCAAUUCUGUACUGUUUGGUGUUCGGGCCCGGUAAGGGGAAAGUGAGGUGGACGGAUAAUUGGAGUAAAGAGGAGUCUACGGUCAUGAUUACCUGGUAUACAUUGACGGAGAGUCAAUGAGAUGAGAUCAAGCAUGGCAAAAGAGGAAAAGGGCUCUUGAGAGCCAUCCGUAUCCUUUUAUUCCCUACACUUGGGGGUUGUUGAUUUUACUUACUUGUCAUGCAUAUUUGGACUGAAUAUUCUUGUGUUUUUGUGAUCCUGGUAUAUUUUGGUGAUGGUACCUCAUUGGGCGAAAGCUCACUCCGUGAAUUUUGUUUUCCUUACAGGGAUUUACCUUUUGGACUUUUGAAUUUGAAGAUGAGUUGAGUAGAACUAGUUGAGAGAUUUUGGAUAGCUCCUCAAUAGUUGGCAACUUGAUUGUACUUGAAUUUACAUGUUUCCUUUUGGCUUGUAAUCAUACCAAUGUGGUUGGUAACAGUGUGUGUGUAUUCAUGUUCCAUGUAUUAUACUUGGCUUGUAUAUAUAUUCCUUUCAGGGAUUGUAAGCAGUUAUUUGCAUUUGAUUGGGUCCUGGCUGAUUGUGACGUGGCAGUCACUAUUCACUUUACGUUUUAACUGUUGUUUUUCGUUUCUUGAUUGAUGGUUGGAUUAAGCGCGUUAGUAGUAUCCCGAACGACUUGUAUUAAUGUUUUACCGUUUUAGUAGUCCUGGCGAGAGUUGGGCAGGCAGUCCGCUAACCCCUUUGGUACGUCUUAGGGGAAGGUGGGGCUGUCACAGGUGGUAUCAGAGCCUAGGUUAGAAAUACUCUGGGCGAACCUAAAACCUGGUCCUUAGAACUUUUGGGAUUGUGUUUAGACGCCAUUAAGUGUGAAUAUAUUGUCUAAGCUAUAAACCUUUGCUAUCUUUGUAGGUUAUGUGUCACGGCCCCACCUCCCCCUGAGGCGAACCAGAGGGUUCGGCGGCCGCCUGCCCAGCUCUCGCCGGGACUCAGUCGUUCACUACAUUCCUCAAACAGAUUACAAGAUAAAACUCAAAUAUUACAUUAAAAAUCUCCAAUAAUUACAUGUCAAAAGCGAAGCGGAAAUAAUACUCAACUAUACAUAAAAUGAUUUCCAAAUCCAAAUUGUACAAAACAUAGGCCAUCCAGGCACAUGAAUAAGCACAACAAGUCCUUCCUUCGCUACGAGCCCUGUGGAGGGGAAUAAAAUAUUUUUGGGGUGAGCUAGAAGCUCAGCGAGUAACCAGUAAAAUCAUUAAACAAAUAUAUUUCACAAUGUUGCAUUUCGAUCAUUUCGAUGAUGUCAUGAUUCAGAGAUCAAAUGUUCGUUUAGUGCUCUCGUGAGUCAGGGAAAUCAUAGCACUUGAACACCCAACGCUCAAAUAGAUCAUUUAACAUUAACAUUAACAUUAAGAGGGAGCCCCUUCUUGAGCUCCAGAUAAACAUGAACAUGAACCAUAAACAGAGUGGAGACGUUGGUGUCCAGUACAAGACUUUCCCAGAACUCAUUGAAGCCAAAUCAUGUCAUGAACUCACAUGCAAACACGCAUGAUAUGCAAUCGAGUACACAAUGCAAGAAACAUUUCACAAGUACUUUGGAAAUAGUUUAGGGUCACUCACCUCCACGGCUCAGAAAUCAUCCAGCAUAUAACAUUGCCUUGCUCAAAUCCAAGUCUUAGUUCACAAACUCAAUGCAAACAAAUCCCUUCAAAGUUCGGACAGCACUUCCCCUGAAUUUGCUAAUUUUUCCAGCCAUCAUGGCUUCAUUAUUUCCUCAUCCAGUCCCAAAGGUACACACACAACAACAAGUUCAUCCAAUAUCCAUUCAGCAAGCUCCAAGUAGUACUAGUACAAGUCAAGCUAGGGAAAAGUCCGGAAAUGAAAGUUAAGCUCAAAACCAGAAAAACAGUUUUGACGUCCUUUUGCGGUAAUGGCACCAAAGGUACUACGAGUAUCGGAUGGAGGUCCAGGACCCACCGUUUCGAAGCUAAGAACCAGGGCUACAAAAAUGUAGAAGGUCACUCAGUCCAAAUCCUAGCACAACUAAGUCAAAUAUGCCAAAAAACAAACCAGAACCGUACUUACAGGUUUACAAAUUACACUAUGCUGUAAUCAGUACAACUCAGUCUAUACAGGUCCAAAUGAAGAAAUUCCAAAGGCAUAUGAUAGCUAGGAGAUCAAGCUACAUUUCAUCAGAAGACACCAACAACAAAAUCCAAAACAAUCCCAGCCAAAACAACCCAUUUCAGACGCAGUUCGCACAUUCUGAUCAUCCCAGAACAGCAACAGUAAAAUCGACAUAUCUCACUGUAAACUACUCCAAAUGAUCAGAAACUUUACAAGCACCUCAAACACAUCAAUACCUACAACUUUCAUGUUUUAAGAAAAGGCCAAUUCGACCUCUAACCAUAUGAUACAAAACCGGAUAGAAAAGGGGGUUAUGAAACCCUAACUUCCUCAAAUUCCUUCCAAACCCAAAAUUGGUUGCAAUUAUCAAUAAUUCACACCUACUAGAGUCAUUAUAGGCCAUUGCCAAUCAUCAUACAAGGCCACAACAUCAUGAUCAUAUUAAACCAGAAAAAUCACCAAUAAAUUGUAAACUUCACCAUUUCAUCCAAAAACAAGAAAUAAUCCAUAAAGUUGCACCUUAUAUCACCACUAAUCAUGAAUUGAACAUCAUUAGAGCAAGGAGAGGGGUCAUUCACAACUCACCUUAGCAAUACAAGAGAUAGAGCAACUAGUCACCUUAGCUUUCCAAACAACUCCACAAAACACCUCAAGACCACUUAGCAAAGAGAUUUUAUGGAAUGAUUUGGAGUUUUAUUGGUUGGAUUUGAAGAUUGAGCAAGAAAUAGAAGGAAGAAAUUGAGAGCUUUUCUUUCUUUUCCUUUGAGAGAGAGCCGGCUAUGAAGCUUUAAAAAUAAGGAUGAUUUUUGGCAAUUUUUUGAUAUUUAUUUGGUAAAGGUAAAGGUAAAGUCAAAUGGUCAAAGUCCAAGACUUAAUCUUAUGGUGACACUUGUCACAUUUUGGUUCAAAACUUAUCUUUUUGUCUCUCCAAUACAAAUAUCUUAACACCUUGUAAAAUAAUAUCACUAAAUACAAAAUUCCAAGAAGUUGUCAAAAAUAUAUUGCGUUUACCGCACUUGCGGGUCCCACGUUCAAAAUACGCUCUUAAUUUCUCAAAAACUAACCGAUACUAGAAAAAUCAUUUUAAAACUAUUUUUGCUCAUAAACUUUAUUUGGGAAAUUUUUCUAAUAAAGAAACUGUAGAAAAGGCGGGCGAUUAAAUUAAAUAAACCCUAGAAAAUUAGAAAAUUUUCGGGUUCUCACACUCAUACUUUUCGGGGCGUCACAUUAUGGCUGGCACUAGUGGAGCGGGCGGAGACGAGCCACCUCAGAGGUGCCCACGGGUUAUCGACUACCAGGAGAGACCAGGAGGUCCGAUCCGGCUGUGGUAUACCGCUAGCCGGACCCGCCGCUGUAGGCGUUGCCAGUUUUAUCCUUACGCGGACCACGUGGUUGUGGUAGUGCUUGCUGAGCGACGGAGGCUUAGAUGUGCCGCCGCCAGGGAGCGCACUGAGACCCUUAGGCUUAGGGGCAUCACGCGGAUGCAGGCCGAUAGGAUUGGGGAGCUCCAGGGGGACGUGGCCAUGGAGCAGGAGAGGACGAACGCUCUGAGAGAGCAGUUGCAGGUGGUUAACGACCGCCUCACUAGGGUAGUCCGGGAGGUGAGAGACCGGUCCGGCGCUAUUAUCGAUGAGUGUGGGGCACUCAUCCAGGGAGUGAUUGGCACCAAUGCGCCAGGGGGAGUUCCAGGUGACGGAGCUCUAGGUCAGGGAGGCGCCCCUAGCUCUAGCUCUGGGGGGGAGUCGGUUGGCUCCGUCGAGGACUAGAUUAGGGUUUUUGAGCCUUGUUUUGCUCCCGUGUGAGGGAUACCUAGGAAAAGCUUUUGGUUAGCUGUUUCGUACCUUUUGUACCUUUUGGGACCUAGGUUGUACAGUGUAUUUUGACAGACCCUCUUUUGGCUUCACGGGAGUACUUUUGUAUAUAUUUGCUUGACUGCUCAUGUAUGACUGUUUGUCACAGUUAUGUGUUCUGUGUAUAACUGUUCUAUGUGUAUAUAUAUCUUAUGUGGUGUUUAUUUUUGGUUCUUCGUUCAUGCUUAUGUGACUAUAUUUAUAUGCACUUUAAUAUUAUUUUGUGCCUCGACUUUAGAGUGACAUUAGAGCAAUGGAAGGCACUCGUAGUGGACAAGGCCGCGGGCGCGGGGUUAGGCAACCCACAACUGACGAGGGUACUAGGGAUACCACGACUGAACCAAAUCCUGAACCUAGGGUUGACCCUAAUGCCCAAAUAGCUGCUGCUAUGCAGCAAAUGACUGACAUGUUAGCCCACGUAGUGCAACAGCAGGGCCAACCUCCUAUCCAGCAACCUGGGAACCCUGGCCAUGUAGUAGAAAGUGAAGAUCGGGCCUUAGAGAGAUUUCAGAAGUUCUCUCCGCCAAAAUUUCUGGGCGGGCCAGAUCCGGACGUGGCCGAAAAAUGGUUAGAGAAAAUGAUAGAUAUUUUUGCUGCCCUACACUAUUCAGAGGAGAGGCAGGUUACUUUCGCUGUCUUCCAAUUGGAAGGGGCCGCGCGUUCUUGGUGGGACGUGAUACGAAUGAAGUGGGACCGGGAACAAACCCCAAGAACAUGGGUAAACUUUGUGAGGGACUUCAAUGCGAAAUACUUUCCCCCUCUAGUCCAGGAAAAGAAGGAGGAUGAGUUCAUUAGACUCCGUCAGGGGACGCAAUCGGUGGCUGAGUACGAGAGCCAGUUUACUCGUUUAUCUAAGUUUGCCCCUGAACUCAUUCUAACGGAGCAAAGGAGAGUUCGGCGUUUUAUUCAAGGGCUCAAUGUGGAAAUUCAAAAGGAUCUGGCGGUAGCCCAGAUCAAUAUCUUUAGUGACGCCGUGGAGAAAGCUUUGCGAGUUGAAAAUGCCAGGCUUCAAGUAAGGAACUUUCAGGUGAAAAAAGGGGGUUCUCUGCGAGUAGUUCGACCCAAGGGGAUAAAGGGACCCCUCCCAAGUUUGGAAGAGGAGCCGGGGGAGGAAGGCAACCGGGAAUGACACGAGGGACUCCGCCGAGGGGUGGUCGCAAUGGACGGGGCCCGCAGAGAAGCGUCUCACAAGGAAGUUCGGCCUCAGUUGCACGCGGACCCUGUGGAUUUUGUGGGAAACCAAACCACACUGAGGACAACUGUUAGAGGAAAGAAAGGAAAUGCUUGCGCUGCGGGAGUGCGGAGCAUCAAAUAACUAACUGUCCGGUGUUACCUCGGGAGGCUAGAGUAACCACCCAGUCGUCGAAGGCUAACUCGGGACAGUCUAAGGUAGAAGGGACAAAGCCAAAGGUGCCAGCUCGGGUUUACUCCCUUGAGCAACAACAAGUCCCUGAUUCCUCUGGGGUUGUAGAAGGUACGAUCCCUGUUUUUCAUCGUCUAGCUAGGAUUUUGAUCGACCCUGGUGCUACCCAUUCCUUUGUUAACCCCAAUUUUAUGUGCGGCAUUGAUAUAACCCCUGUUAGCUUGCCUUAUGACUUAGAAGUUAGUACUCCUACGGGGGACCAACGUUUGAUUACUGGUUUGAUGUAUACAAAUUACGAAAUUUGGGUAGGAGAGAGGAAGCUUUUGGGGAAUCUUAUAAGUUUAGCUAUUAAGGGGUACGACGUUAUAUUGGGUAUGGACUGGCUAGCUAAGUACGAUGCACAACUUGAUUGUAAGAGAAAAAUAGUGGAAUUUCGUAUACCGGGGGAGGCAACCCUAAGGCUCGAUAUAAGGGGUAGUUUAGCCUCAUCUGCAUUGAUUUCGGGUAUUCAGGCUAGGAAAUUUCUGUAUAAAGGGGCCCAAGGGUUCCUAGCUUUUCUUAUAAACACUCCUACUGAUAAGUUGAGGGUUGAAGAUGUGCCUGUAGUAAGUGAAUAUCCGGAUGUGUUUCCUGAUGAAUUAGUCACUUUACCUCCGGAGAGAGAAAUAGAGUUUAAGAUCGACUUAUUGCCGGGGACGUCACCUAUCUCUAAGACCCCCUAUCGAAUGGCACCUGCUGAGCUCAAGGAGUUGAAAUUACAGUUGCAAGACCUGUUGGAGCGUGGGUUUAUUCAGGAGAGUGGAUCUCCGUGGGGGGCUCCGGUACUAUUUGUUAAGAAGAAGGAUGGAACUUUAAGAUUGUGUAUCGAUUAUCGGGGAUUAAACAAUAUGACCAUUAAGAACAAAUACCUACUUCCCCAUAUCGAUGAACUGUUUGACCAGUUGCAAGGCGCGGUGGUCUUUUCAAAGUUAGAUCUCCGACAGGGUUACUAUCAGUUGCUUAUUAAGAAAGAAGAUGUACCCAAGACUGCCUUCAAUUCUAGAUAUGGGCAUUUUGAGUUUGCGGUCAUGCCCUUUGGGUUGACCAAUGCCCCUGCCGCCUUUAUGGAUUUGAUGCAUCGGGUUUUCAAACCCUACCUGGACCGAUUUGUUGUCGUGUUUAUUGACGACAUCUUGGUCUAUUCUAAAACCCGUGAGGAACAUGAGCAGCAUUUGAAGCUAGUGUUACAAACCCUGAGAGAUCAUCGGCUAUACGCCAAAUUUAGUAAGUGUGAAUUUUGGUUGGAGAAAAUCUCUUUCUUGGGACAUGUGGUUUCAAAAGAAGGUAUUACAGUGGUUCCCGCGAAAGUAGAGGCAGUGGCUGAAUGGAAGAGGCCAGAAAACCCACUGAGAUUCGCAGUUUCUUAGGGUUGGCUGGGUACUAUAGACGCUUUAUUAAAGACUUUUCCAAACUGGCCGGCCCUUUAACCGAUCUAACGAAGAAAAAUAGCCGUUUUGUGUGGGAUACUAGGUGUGAAACCAGUUUUCAGGAGUUGAAACGAAGGUUAACCGUGGCUCCUGUUUUGGCCUUGCCUAAUGGGAGGGACAGUUUUACCGUUUAUACCGAUGCUUCGAGGGAAGGCUUGGGUGCGUAUUGAUGCAGAACAAGAACGUGAUUGCCUUUGCCUCUAGGAAACUAAAAACCCAUGAACAAAACUACCCUACCCAUGACUUGGAGUUAGCUGCUGUGGUCUUUGCUCUGAAAAAGUGGAGACACUAUCUCUACGGGGUUACCUUUGAGGUUUAUUCAGACCAUAAGAGUCUUAAGUAUCUCUUCUCCCAAAAAGAGUUGAAUAUGAGACAACGCCGGUGGAUGGAACUCUUAGAAGAUUAUGACUGCACGAUCAACUACCAUCCCGGUAAGGCUAACGUAGUAGCGGACGCCUUAAGUCGGAAGGCUCAAGUAGCAGGGUUGAUGGUCAAGGAGUGGGAAAUGUUAGGAGCAGCUAGCGAGUGGAACCCUAGACUGGGAUGCAAACAAAUAACUUUUGGGAAUAUUCGGGUGACAUCUGCUAUUCUCGAUCGAAUUAAAGAAGCCCAAGAGAAGGAUCCGAUGGUACAAAAGUGGAAGGAAAAGGUGGAAAAGGAAGCACUACCUGACUUCAAUUUGGGUCCUGAAGGAAUUUUAAGGUAUAGGAACCGAGUAGUGGUAGCCAAUGAUGAAAACCUGAAAAGAAAAAUUUUAGAGGAAGCCCAUCGAUCGAAAUACACGAUCCAUCCUGGUAGUAAUAAGAUGUACCAAGCCUUGCGACGGUUGUACUGGUGGGAUAAGAUGAAGAGGGAGAUUGCUCAAUAUAUCCAAACCUGUCUGAUUUGCCAGCAAGUCAAGGCUGAACACCAAAAACCCUCUGGACUGUUACAACCUCUUGAGAUACCCGAAUGGAAGUGGGAAAAUAUCACGAUGGACUUUGUUUCUGGACUGCCAAGAACUCAAAAAGGACAUGAUGCCGUUUGGGUGAUCGUUGAUCGGUUAACCAAAUCGGCCCAUUUCUUACCUGUGAAUGUGAAGGAUUCCAUGGAUAAGCUGGCUCGAUUGUACCUGAAUGAAAUUGUGAGGUUGCAUGGGGUUCCAGUGAGUAUAGUUUCAGACCGAGAUCCUCGUUUUGUAUCGAGGUUUUGGCAAAAGUUUCAAGAGAAUUUGGGGACCAAAAUCAACCUUAGUACCACUUAUCACCCCCAGACGGAUGGACAGUCAGAGAGAACCAUUCAAACCCUCGAGGAUAUGUUACGGACUUGUAUUCUGGAUUUUGGGGGUAAUUGGGGUCAACAUAUGACUUUGGUAGAGUUUGCCUACAAUAACAGUUUCCAUUCGUCUAUUCAAAUGGCACCAUAUGAAGCUCUCUACGGACAGAAGUGUCGUUCGCCCAUUUAUUGGGAUGAAGUAGGGGAAAAGAAAGCUCUAGAUCCAACAACCAUUCCUUGGAUGGAGGAUGCACAAGAGAAGGUUAAAUUGAUCCGUCAAAGACUCCAAACAGCUCAAAGCCGACAAAAGAGCUACGCAGAUAACCGAAGGAAAGACUUGGAGUUCGAAGUUGGAGACCGUGUUUUCCUUAAAAUCACACCACUACGAAGCAUCACUGCGGGUAGAGGAAAGAAACUUCAACCACGGUUCGUGGGGCCUUAUACAAUUCUUCAGCGAGUGGGGAAAGUAGCGUACCGACUCGAGUUGCCGCCAAGUUUAUCUCGAAUUCAUGAUGUUUUCCAUGUCUCGAUGCUUAAAAAGUACUAUCCUGAUCCAACCCACGUUGUGCGACCGGAGGAGAUUGAGUUAGAUAAGGCACUCACCUACGAAGAGAGAUCUGUACAAGUACUCGAUCGAAGGAUUAAGGAACUGAGGAAUAAGCAAAUUCCAUUAGUGAAGGUUAUGUGGAGAAAUCAUGGAAUAGAAGAGGCAACUUGGGAGUUGGAGGAAGAGAUGCAAACGAAAUACCCUGAGCUAUUUAGUUACCCAGGUGAGCAAUUUCGAGGGCGAAAUUCUUUAAGGGGGAGAGAGUGUGAGAACCCAGAAAAAAAAAAUUUAUUAUUUAUUUAUUAUUUUAUUCCUGUGCACCCGUUUUCUUUUAUUUUCUUUAUUCUAUUAAUUUUCUCAACAUUUUAACAGUAAAUAUAGCUUUUAAAUCCAUUUUCUAGUAUAAGGUAGUUCGUGAGAAAUUUGGAACGUCUUUUGGUCGUGGGACCCGCUAGUGCAUUAAGUGAGAGAAAUUUGACCAAUUAGGUUAAAUUUUGCGUAAAGGGUUUUUGCUACUAGGUAUUAGGAGAUAAUUGGAGGUUGCCUAGAUGGUUUAGCCAUGAGGGACAAGAAGAUAGCUCUAGCAAAAUAAUGCGCCAAGUGUCAAAUUGUUGUUGGACUAAACUUGUCUAACUUUGCCUAACUUUCUUUAACUUUAAUAAAAGACCAAAAAUUGACUAAAUCAUCUUCAUUUCAGCCUUGUCUUGGCCGAACCUCUCUAGCAAGCAAAGGAAAAAAUUCUUCAACCUUCCAUCUUCUAAUCUUGCUCAAAUCUUGAAAACUAGCCGUUUGUUUCUUGAAUUAGUCCAUAAAAACAUCUUGCUAAGGGUCUUUGAAGAGUUUAGUGGUGUUGUUUUGGAAGAAAACCUCACAAGCUACAACCUUUCUUGAAGAACUAAGGUAUCUUGCUUGGAACUCAUCUUUUGUUAUAAAUUUUGGCCAAUUGGUGCCUUAUAGUAGCUAUUUACGCGAUUUUACGGAAGAUUUGGUGGAUUGGAGUGAAGUUUCCUAAUUUUCUGAUUUUUCUGGAAUUUUCUGUUUUCCUAUGAUGGAUAUGAUUGAGCUUGAAUUAGUGGUUCUCAAUGGUAUUAAAUAGCUCUCUUGUGCGUUAAUUGUGGUUAAUUGCGAAAAAUUUCCGCUUGUGCGGAAAAUUUCAGAUUUAGGUUUUCAAAUUGGGGGUUUUCUAUUGUUGAUUGUUGAACUUCUAAUUGGCUAUAAUUGAAGGGUAUUGUGACCCUAAUGACGCAUAUCGAAUGACUUAUAUAUUGUUUGGGUGCUUGUGGUUGUGUUGGAUGGCUUUUAUUGGUUGUCUUGUAGGUUGGAAAAGCUGAAAUUUUAAGGAAAAUGCUGUCCAAGUGUCGAGGGUAUUGGAUUCUUAUGUGUUGGGUUGAGAUUUCAUAGAAAUGAAUAAUCUUAGGGUUUAUUUCUACUUUUAACCCUAAAUGUUAAGUAUUUUUCAUUUCCAAGCUAUAUUUGGGUCUUGCCUUAAUAGUUCCUAGAAAAAGGUAUUCGACUUGUGUUUGCGUUUUCAUUGUACUUUCUUGAUUGUUAUAGGGCGUGCCGGUGAUCCGAGGCUCACGUCGGGCGAAAACUUGUGAAAUUUCUUUGUUGAACUUGGUGAGUGUACUACUCACAUAUUUGUUAUUCCGUGGCUUUCUUGUACUUGAAUUCUGUGAUUUGGGCUAGUUGUGAUGAUUGUUUGAGCUAGGUGAGGCGAGGCUGUACUUUACCACUCUCGUACUCU